GUAGGUGGCAAGCGUUGUCCGGGAAUUAUUGGGGCGUAGAGCGCGCGCAGGCGGUUCGUUUAAGUCUGAUGUGAAAGCCCACGGGCUCAACCGUGGAGGGUCAUUGGAAACUGGAGAACUUGAGUACAGAAGAGGAAAGCGGAAUUCCACGUGUAGCGGUGAAAUGCGUAGAGAUGUGGAGGAACACCAGUGGCGAAGGCGGCUUUCUGGUCUGUAACUGACGCUGAGGCGCGAAAGCGUGGGGAGCAAACAGGAUUAGAUACCCUGGUAGUCCACGCCGUAAACGAUGAGUGCUAAGUGUUAGGGGGUUUCCGCCCCUUAGUGCUGCAGCUAACGCAUUAAGCACUCCGCCUGGGGAGUACGGCCGCAAGGCUG
rnacentral:rRNA from 1 species